rnacentral:rRNA from 1 species
UACGAAGGGGGCAAGCGUUGUUCGGAAUUACUGGGCGUAAAGGGCGCGUAGGCGGCUUACCAAGUCAGGCGUGAAAUUCCCGGGCCCAACCUGGGGGCUGCGCUUGAUACUGGUGAGCUUGAAUGCGGGAGAGGAUAGUGGAAUUCCCAGUGUAGAGGUGAAAUUCGUAGAUAUUGGGAAGAACACCGGUGGCGAAGGCGGCUAUCUGGCCCGUAAUUGACGCUGAGGCGCGAAAGCGUGGGGAGCAAACAGG